rnacentral:rRNA from 1 species
UACGAAGGGGGCUAGCGUUGCUCGGAAUCACUGGGCGUAAAGCGCACGUAGGCGGAUUGUUAAGUCAGGGGUGAAAUCCUGGAGCUCAACUCCAGAACUGCCUUUGAUACUGAGAAGCUUGAGUCCGGGAGAGGUGAGUGGAACUGCGAGUGUAGAGGUGAAAUUCGUAGAUAUUCGCAAGAACACCAGUGGCGGAGGCGGCUCACUGGCCCGGUACUGACGCUCAGGGGCGAAAGCGUGGGGAGCAAACCGG